GACGAACGCUGGCGGCGCGCUUAACACAUGCAAGUCGAGCGAAGCGGCGGACGGGUGAGUAACACGUGAGUAACCUGGCUUAGACAUUGGGAUAGCCUCGGGAAACCGGGAUUGAUACCAAAUGGUCUAGGAUGGACUCGCGUCCCAUUAGCUGGUUGGUGAGGUAACGGCCCACCAAGGCGACGCCGGGUAGACGGCAUGAGAGGGAGGAUGGCGACUUUGGAACGGGGAAACGGUCGAAACUCUGCGGGAGGCAGGAGUGGCGAAUAUUGCCAUACCGAGGGAAUUCUGAUGCAGCGACGCUGGGUAAACGAUGAAGGCUUUCGAGUCGGAAUGGUCUUUUAUAUGGGAAGCGGUACCAUAAGAAAAAGCCCCGGCUAACUACGUGCCAGCAGCCGCGGUAAUUC
rnacentral:rRNA from 1 species